ANGAGACUCUGACCAGCCAUGCCGCGUGCAGGAUGACGGCCCUCUGGGUUGUAAACUGCUUUUAUACGGGAAGAAAAAAUAGUACGUGUACUAUACUGACGGUACCGUAAGAAUAAGGAUCGGCUAACUCCGUGCCAGCAGCCGCGGUAAUACGGAGGAUCCAAGCGUUGUCCGGAUUUAUUGGGUUUAAAGGGUGCGUAGGCGGAUCUUUAAGUCAGUGGUGAAAGCCUGCAGCUUAACUGUAGAACUGCCAUUGAAACUGAAGAUCUUGAAUAUGGUUAAAGUAAGCGGAAUGUAUCAUGUAGCGGUGAAAUGCUUAGAUAUGAUACAGAACACCGAUAGCGAAGGCAGCUUGCUGAGCCAUUAUUGACGCUGAGGCACGAAAGCGUGGGGAGCAAACAGGAUUAGAUACCCUGGUAGUCCACGCCCUAAACGUUGAUUACUCGUUGUUGGCGAUAUACUGUCAGCGACUAAGCUAAAGCGUUAAGUAAUCCACCUGGGAAGUACGACCGCAAGGUUGAAACUCAAAGGAAUUGACGGGGGCCCGCACAAGCGGAGGAGCAUGUGGUUUAAUUCGAUGAUACGCGAGGAACCUUACCUGGGCUUGAAAGUUAGUGACCGCUCCUGAAAGGGAGCUUCUCUUCGGAGCACAAAACUAGGUGCUGCAUGGCUGUCGUCAGCUCGUGCCGUGAGGUGUUGGGUUAAGUCCCGCAACGAGCGCAACCCCUUUCUUUAGUUGCCAUCAGGUUAUGCUGGGGACUCUAGAGAUACUGCCUAUGUAAAUAGUGAGGAAGGUGGGGACGACGUCAAGUCAUCAUGGCCCUUACGUCCAGGGCUACACACGUGCUACAAUGGCAGUCACAAAUGGAUGCUACUUAGUAAUAAGAUGCUAAUCCCAAAAAGAUUGUCUCAGUUCGGAUUGAGGUCUGCNACUCGACCUCAUGA
rnacentral:rRNA from 1 species